rnacentral:rRNA from 1 species
AGGGUUUGAUCCUGGCUUAGGACGAACGCUGGCGGCGUGCAUAACACAUGCAAGUCGAACGGACUUAAUCGGAUGAAGUUUACGGAUGGAAUUUGAGAAGAGUCAGUGGCGGACGGGUGAGUAACGCGUGAGGAACCUGCCUAUCAGAGGGGGACAACAGUUGGAAACGACUGCUAAUACCGCAUAAAACGUCAUGAUGGCAUCAUCGAGACGUCAAAGGAGCAAUCCGCUGAUAGAUGGCCUCGCGUCUGAUUAGAUAGUUGGUGAGGUAACGGCUCACCAAGUCGACGAUCAGUAGCCGGACUGAGAGGUUGAACGGCCACAUUGGGACUGAGACACGGCCCAG